rnacentral:rRNA from 1 species
UACGUAGGGUGCAAGCGUUGUCCGGAAUUAUUGGGCGUAAAGAGCUCGUAGGCGGUUUGUCGCGUCUGCUGUGAAAACUCAGGGCUUAACUCUGAGCUUGCAGUGGGUACGGGCAGACUAGAGUGCGGUAGGGGAGACUGGAAUUCCUGGUGUAGCGGUGAAAUGCGCAGAUAUCAGGAGGAACACCGAUGGCGAAGGCAGGUCUCUGGGCCACUACUGACGCUGAGAAGCGAAAGCAUGGGGAGCGAACAGG